rnacentral:rRNA from 1 species
UACGUAGGGUGCAAGCGUUAAUCGGAAUUACUGGGCGUAAAGCGUGCGCAGGCGGUGAUGUAAGACAGGUGUGAAAGCCCCGGGCUUAACCUGGGAACUGCGUUUGAAACUGGGAGACUUGAGUGUGGCAGAGGGGGGUGGAAUUCCACGUGUAGCAGUGAAAUGCGUAGAUAUGUGGAGGAACACCGAUGGCGAAGGCAGCCCCCUGGGUUAACACUGACGCUCAUGCACGAAAGCGUGGGGAGCAAACAGG